rnacentral:lncRNA from 1 species
GGGAAUUUGGCCUGUAAUAAUCCCACCUAGACCUUAUUGGCCAUUAAUAAUCCCACCUCAGAAUAUUCCCCCCACCAGUCCCACCUUUCACCUAUUUUUCCUACAAUGAACGACGAUACGAGUCCAUUGAUGUAAAACUUGCCUCGAAACGGUGCUCCAAACGAUGAAAACGGCGCUUCAAUUCGGGUGUUUAAAUUUCCAAUUAACCAAAAUCAAGUCACUUGGAGCACCAUUUCGAAGUAAGUUUUACAUCAAUGGACUCGUAUCAUCGUUCUGAUCAAAAGCCCUAAAAAAUCUGUUUGUAAUUUGGAAAAAAGCUUAACUCCGUUAAGUUUUUUUAACGGG